rnacentral:rRNA from 1 species
UACGUAGGGGGCAAGCGUUGUCCGGAUUUAUUGGGCGUAAAGCGCGUGUAGGCGGCCAGAUAGGUCCGUUGUGAAAACUGGAGGCUUAACCUCCAGCUGUCGAUGGAAACCAUCUGGCUAGAGUCCGGAAGAGGAGAGUGGAAUUCCUGGUGUAGCGGUGAAAUGCGCAGAUAUCAGGAAGAACACCCGUGGCGAAGGCGGCUCUCUGGGACGGUACUGACGCUGAGACGCGAAAGCGUGGGGAGCGAACAGG